GUCCUCCUCUGCAAAGAGUUGCCCAGCUAAACCUCCCCGCGCCCCCCCCCCCGGGGGGGGGGGGGCUACUCGCUUCCAAAGCUGAGGUGUUGGUUCUCGCCUCUUCCACGUCCCCCAGUUCACUCGCAAACUCAAACCCAAGUAUCGCCCAGCCAGCCCGACGAGCCCAGAGAGGGUCGUGUUUCAGCCCCAAGUCGCCCUUUUCCCACUCGCUCUCCCCUCCCGGGGGCAAAUCGAGCAGGAUCCGGACUUGGCGAGAGUCGUCGAUCCGUCCCCCCUCCCCCACCAACCCCCUCCCGGUGCCGAGCGGGGGAAGCGGGAUCGCCUGCGGAGGGGAUCCGGCCUCUCAAAAACCAUCCGGGGCACCCCAUGGGGGGACUGGCCAGUGACAUCGAAACUCUGUUUGGGACUUUUCAGAUUCUUCUUUCGCAGCCGAAGAGGGCGCAGUCAUGAAGCUACCAGCCCGGACGUCGGAACACAAAAAUCCUCGCUCAGCAAGAGUGAAGACUGCAGCCGAAGAUCGGAUCUGCU